AGUUUGAUCCUGGCUCAGGAUGAACGCUGGCGGCGUGCCUAACACAUGCAAGUCGAACGGAGUUGCUUCUACCCGACGGAUCAUCUUCGGAUGUGAAGUCACCUGAAGCGCUUAGUGGCGGACGGGUGAGUAACGCGUGGGCAACCUGCCCUGCACAGGGGGAUAGCGGUUGGAAACGACCGGUAAUACCGCAUACCUUGACGAUACCGCAUGGUAAUGUCAAGAAAACGUUUAGUGGUGCAGGAUGGGCCCGCGUCCGAUUAGUUAGUUGGUGGGGUAACGGCCUACCAAGACGACGAUCGGUAGCCGACCUGAGAGGGCGGACGGCCACAUUGGGACUGAGACACGGCCCAGACUCCUACGGGAGGCAGCAGUGGGGAAUAUUGCACAAUGGGGGAAACCCUGAUGCAGCGACGCCGCGUGAGUGAAGAAGUAUUUCGGUAUGUAAAGCUCUAUCAGCAGGGAAGAUAAUGACGGUACCUGACUAAGAAGCCCCGGCUAAAUACGUGCC
rnacentral:rRNA from 1 species